rnacentral:rRNA from 1 species
UUGGGGAAUAUUGGACAAUGGGCGAAAGCCUGAUCCAGCCAUGCCGCGUGUGUGAAGAAGGUCUUCGGAUUGUAAAGCACUUUAAGUUGGGAGGAAGGGCAGUAAGUUAAUACCUUGCUGUUUUGACGUUACCGACAGAAUAAGCACCGGCUAACUUCGUGCCAGCAGCCGCGGUAAUACGAAGGGUGCAAGCGUUAAUCGGAAUUACUGGGCGUAAAGCGCGCGUAGGUGGUUUUGUAAGUUGGAGGUGAAAUCCCCGGGCUCAACCUGGGAACUGCCUCCAAAACUGCAUGACUAGAGUACGGUAGAGGGUAGUGGAAUUUCCUGUGUAGCGGUGAAAUGCGUAGAUAUAGGAAGGAACACCAGUGGCGAAGGCGACUACCUGGACUGAUACUGACACUGAGGUGCGAAAGCGUGGGGAGCAAACAGGAUUAGAAACCCUUGUAGUCC